rnacentral:rRNA from 1 species
GACGAACGCUGGCGGCGUGCUUAACACAUGCAAGUCGAACGGAAAGGCCCUGCUUUUGUGGGGUGCUCGAGUGGCGAACGGGUGUGUAACACGUGAGUAACCUGCCCUUGACUUUGGGAUAACUUCAGGAAACUGGGGCUAAUACCGGAUAGGAGCUCCUGCUGCAUGGUGGGGGUUGGAAAGUUUCGGCGGUUGGGGAUGGACUCGCGGCUUAUCAGCUUGUUGGUGGGGUAGUGGCUUACCAAGGCUUUGACGGGUAGCCGGCCUGAGAGGGUGACCGGCCACAUUGGGACUGAGAUACGGCCCAGACUCCUACGGGAGGCAGCAGUGGGGAAUAUUGCACAAUGGGCGGAAGCCUGAUGCAGCAACGCCGCAUGCGGGAUGACGGCCUUCGGGUUGUAAACCGCUUUCGCCUGUGACGAAGCGUGAGUGACGGUAAUGGGUAAAGAAGCACCGGCUAACUACGUG